rnacentral:rRNA from 1 species
UGGGAAUUUGGACAAUGGGCGAAGCCUGAUCCAGCAAUGCCGCGUGUGUGAAGAAGGCCUUCGGGUUGUAAAGCACUUUUGUCCGGAAAGAAAUCCUUGGCUCUAAUACAGUCGGGGGAUGACGGUACCGGAAGAAUAAGCACCAGCUAACUACGUGCCAGCAGCCGCGGUAAUACGUAGGGUGCAAGCGUUAAUCGGAAUUACUGGGCGUAAAGCGUGCGCAGGCGGUUUGCUAAGACCGAUGUGAAAUCCCCGGCUCAACCUGGGAACUGCAUUGGUGACUGGCAGGCUAGAGUAUGGCAGAGGGGGGUAGAAUUCCACGUGUAGCAGUGAAAUGCGUAGAGAUGUGGAGGAAUACCGAUGGCGAAGGCAGCCCCCUGGGCCAAUACUGACGCUCAUGCACGAAAGCGUGGGGAGCAAACAGGAUUAGAUACCCUGGUAGUCCACGCCCUAAACGAUGUCAACUAGUUGUUGGGGAUUCAUUUCCUUAGUAACGUAGCUAACGCGUGAAGUUGACCGCCUGGGGAGUACGGUCGCAAG